UACGUAGGGUGCAAGCGUUGUCCGGAAUUAUUGGGCGUAAAGAGCUCGCAGGCGGUCUGUCGCGUCGGAUGUGAAAACCCAGGGCUCAACCCUGGGCCUGCAUUCGAUACGGGCAGACUAGAGUUCGGUAGGGGAGACUGGAAUUCCUGGUGUAGCGGUGAAAUGCGCAGAUAUCAGGAGGAACACCGGUGGCGAAGGCGGGUCUCUGGGCCGAAACUGACGCUGAGGAGCGAAAGCGUGGGGAGCAAACAGG
rnacentral:rRNA from 1 species